UUCCCUACAUAUCCAAAAGAACUGGGAAAUUUGAAUACUUUUUAGUUCUAUCCCCAAAUCACUUGAAAGUUGAAACAAAAACUUCUGUCAGCCCCAAAGCGCCAAAUCCUCCCUGUUCAUGUAAAGUUUCCCUCUACAAUUUUUGAGUAUCCCUAAAGUUUCCCUCUACAAUUUUUGAGUAUCCCCAAAUCUUCUCUCUGCAACAGUCGAGAUUUAUACCGAUAUGGCAAUAUACCAAAUUCACAUUCCCUCUAAUCCUAUUCACUCCAUCAAACCUAAUAUUCGUAUUAGUCGGCAGAAAGGAAAAAAACCUGUGUUCCUCUCUAAUCAUACGAACACCCAUUGUCCAUCCAUCACUGAUAUCGUCAUCUUUUCCAUAGUCUUCUUCCGCUGCUCUUAAGUGGUUCUGCUAUUGCCAAGCCUCCGAGUUACUGCCGCUUUGAGUACGCAAAGUUCUCGUAAGAGAUGACUUGAUUGUUGAGAACUGGUGACCAAGCUUGGAAAGAUGAAGUAGUUUGUGAGAUCAAUUUUGAACUUGCAUCUUGAUCUAAUUUCAGAGCAAAGCUGCAUUGUAUAAGGCAUUGAUCCUAGAUCAUCAAUAUGUCCCCCUAAGAGAUUGCUUAAGACAAGGAACAGAAGUUCAAGAAAGCCUGUGGAAAAGCAUGACCUGAACAAGAGUGAGGGGUAAACUGAAUUUCUAAUUGCAUGUCGGUGGCAUUGAGAGACGCUUGAUUUAGAUUACGAGAAUCUUUCCAUAAAUUUUUCUGGAGCAAACUUUGAUUGGAUUGGAAAGCGCUCUAAGGAUGUUUAAUGCCCAAAAAGGAAGGAAUCGAAAAAAUGUCAUUUGGAAAAUCAUCAGUGUCCUACUCAACCUGGAAAAGUGGAAUGUGGAUAUUAUGUAAUGAAGUUCAUGAAAGCAAUCAUUGAGGAUCCAACCAUAUUAACAAGAAGCAAGUUCAACAACCAAAGUUACAAUCAAGAAGAGAUAGUUGAUGUUCGAGUAGAGCGAGUAGAGUGGGCUGACCUUGUUGAAACAUUACUCCAAGAUGAUGUAGAAUAGUUUGGUAAUUGGUAUAUUUUGCAAAGUAUAUAUUAAGCUGAGUUUUUGUGUAUGCCCAUGUAAAGUUUUAGAUCAGCUAUAGCUUUUUGUAAGCACUAGAAGUACAUGUAAUCUAAUCUCACCAAGACUCGCAGUUGGCAAUGUGUAUUUUGGAUGCCACGAGUCUUGGGAUAAUUUGUACACAUUGCUUGGAAUCUCCAUGACAAAAAUAGUGCGUCCUAAUAGUUAAUGGAAGACAUUAAUUUGCCCUUUUUUUUUAAGUCAUAUAAUGU